CGGGCUGCGCGCGCUGCGUGAGGGGGCGCUCGAGGAGGCGGCGGCUGCGGGGGCUCCGGCGGCGGUUUCGGCUCCGGCUCCGGCGGCGGUUUCGGCUCCGGCGGCUCGACAUGGCUGAGGUGGAAGAAACACUGAAGCGAAUUCAGAGCCAUCAAGGAGUGGAAGGGUUAAUUGUUGUUAAUUCUGAAGGUACUCCUAUUAGAAGCACUAUGGACAACUCCACCACGAUUCAGUACGCCGGGCUGAUGGGCAGCAUCGUCACGCAGGCGCGGAGCGCUGUGCGAGACAUCGACCCCCAGAACGACCUCACCUUCCUGCGGAUCCGCUCCAAGAAAAACGAGGUCAUGCUUGGAACAGAAAACGACUACUUGCUGAUCGUCAUCCAGAAUAGACCUGAGUGAUUACACUGACUUGGUCUGUUUUUUUCCCUUUGCCUGACUGUCCUCUUUUUAUUUAAUGCUUUUGACCAUUAUGACUCGUCCUGUCACUGGGCACCACAGAAAAAACAACUGGCCCCAUCCUCGUGAUAUGCACCUUUUAAAUACUUGUAAGUGUUAAUGAGAUCCCCUCUCAGCCUUCUCCAGGCUGAACAAUCCCAGGUCCCACAGCUUUUCCUCCUCACAUAGAGAAAUGUUCCAUCCCCUCAGCAUCUUGGUGGCCCUGCAGCCACCAGCAGUUCCCUGUCUCUCUUGAGCUGAGGAGCCCAGAACCGGACAGGGGGCAGAGUAGAGGGGGAGCAGAACCUCCUUUGACCUGCUGCCCACACUCUUCUUGAUACCUCAGGAUGCCAUUGGCUUCUUGCCCACGAGGGCACGUUUCUGGCUCAUGUUUAGUUUGCUGUCCACCAGCACAUACCUGCUGCAUUGGAAUGAAAAUUUCCUUGGUCCACGUCUCAUUCUUGUAAGUCCAUGAACAUGCUGAGAAGCUCCAGGGCUCUUGUGAGCCAGUGUCUUCUCCCCACUCCACGUGAAUGAAUAAUCUUCUAUGGAAUUACAGCCCCAGUCCUGCAGUGAGGUCUGUGUGGAUGAAAUCGGGGAUCAGAUCACUACGUUAGAAACUCCUGCCUCUCACUAAAGAAGGGUUAUCACUUUAUAGCAGUGGUAAAAAGUCCAUUGCCUGAGGGUGCGGUCUGUAAAGUUGUCCAGCCUGCCAGUUCAACAUUGCUGCUUUUCCUUCCUUUUUCCUUCUGGUUAAAAGGACCAGAAAAUACAUUGAAAAUUAAUGUCUCUGCCUGUAAAAGUCAGUCUGAGGAGCUGACAAUUCCUUUCCAGUUUGUAUUCAACUACUGCUCCUGCUUGAUCAAAGCAGAACCCAUGAUGUCGGCUGUGACAGCAGUUGCUUCCUUUCUUGGGUAAACUCUACAAGAAUUUGUUCAAUUGUGGUUACACAUGUUUUUCUUUCAAUUGGUGACCCUUUUAAUAAUUGGAGCAGUCUGUUAAUAAAUGCAUCUUUUGUGUCUUUCUUC